AAGAAGUAGGGAGGAAGAAGCAGUUUCCGGCACCGCUAUCGCCAGCCGUACGCAUCCCAGAAAUGGGACCUGCCGGAAGAAGAUGACAUCCGCUAAUGUGGUCCCACAUGUUGAUAUCGCUGACUCUUUCGGACUCCUGAAGCCAAGCGAUGGGGUCUUCGCCUCGCUUACCAGUGAAGGCCGCCAACGGAAGAGGAGGUCAGCUCCUGAAAGUCAUUUGGAACUAGAAGUGUCUGCAACUCCGAUGCUGGUGAAUAUCUCCUGACAUCCCGCUGUUGGACUCAAAACGAGCAGGAGGAA